AUAAUUUGCACACUUUUAUGAAUUGAAAACCUACUAACAAACUGUUUUAACUUGCAAAGUUGUUUGUUUAAACGAUUUCAAUUCUUAUUAUAUACUAUUAUGUUUCACAAUUGAUUGUUCACACUUAUAUUGAUAGAGAUCAUAAAACCUUUGUAAUGUCUGUAAUAAAACACCCUAGGCUCGAGUGUAAAGGAUAGACACCAUUAUAAAACAAGAAACAUUUGUAAUGUCCUUAAUAAAACACCUAGGCUCGAGUGUAAAGGAUAGGCACCAUUAGAACUUAGUUAGUCAUAGAUACUACUUCCCUAGACACGAGAGUAAAGAGUAAUCUUAAAGAUUGGAGACACGUCCUCGGUGAACACUCCACAGAGAUACGCGAGUGGAGGACCGCACCUGUAACCAGAAUCUCUUAGAUAGGGAGCGUGACUUGAGUGUAUAGAUCUAUACGGGACUGACAAUCUCGCACCUUGCUGCUAGUUAUAGCCGAACCGAAAGGUUCAAGGGUGACGAAAGUCAUAAAAAGGAUACUGGCCCCGACCCGAGUCAUAUCUGGUCUGAAGUAUGGUUAUGGAACUCGCAAUCAAGAUUAUGAACACUUCAUACUUAAUUAUUAGUUUUAUGUACGUAAUAAAACUAAUGUACAAUUAAGGAUAAUCAGACUUUCAGGAGAAUUCGCACACACACACAUUUAGUAAAAUAUGGGAUUUCGUGGGGAUAACAUUGAACAUAAUCAGAAUUGGUAAUAGUUCAUCACACACACACAUGUUAGAAAAUAUAGGAUUUUCCUGGGUAACAGUGGUACGUAACCAGAAAAGUGUAACAAGUUAGAUAACCAAACUUUACAAUUGACAAGAACAAUCAUGUUUUCAUUGUACACCUUUUACAUUACAUUUUGGAUUUGGUAACCAACUUUUAAGAAAAUAUAGGAUUUUCUUGGAUAACUACUUUUUCAGGAAACCAAAGGAACUCGUACAUUUUCAGAAAACUAACCGCUUAUGAACUCACCAGCUUUAUGCUGAUUUUCAAACCGCUUGUAUUCUCAGGUCCGCAUUAGACAGGUACCCGACAAUCUCUUUUGGCGAAGACGGAGUGCGCAGAAGACUCGUCUCAUUUUGUUCAUAUAUACUAUGUAUCACAUGUAUAACUUUACUUUUGAAACAAAUGUAAACUUUUCUAUAUGUAAUGUAAUGGUUGUUUUACUUUACUUACUAUGUGCAUUGGAUUUGAUACUCAACGUGGAGUCAACCCCGGAAAUGUUUCCGCCUUCGGUUUUCGGGGUGUGACAAUUUGGUAUCAGAGCCCUUGUUUAUAGUGAAUAAAGUAUACCAAACCUUACAUGGUAUAAAACUAUAAACAUUAAGGGGCCUAAGUGCUCUGAACUAAAAGUAUCCUUCAAAAUAUAAGUAUUUUCAAAAGUAUAUAAGUAUACCGAACCGUCGAGAUCCGUAACUACAAGUAGAACAAAACAUAAGUAAAUGGGUGUUGUAUACUGCGGUUAAACCUGGGCAGUUAUGUAGUCGUGUCUAGGAUCAAUAUAGCCUGGCCAACUAUAUUCAUUCGAGACACGGCCAACAUGUGCUUGGGAGUGACUGUGGUAUGCGGCAUGCCUAAAACUUACCCUAAUACCACAAACAUCGAGCCAGUGUCGUAGCGAAUCAUGAAAUACUAUGGGAGUAUUUCUCGAGCCAAUCCUUGGUAGAAAUCCUCGUUCAUGCAUUGUUCUUUGAUCAUUCUCUUAGCGAUAAUUUUCCUGCUUUAUCGCUUGUUAGCAUAUAUCUGUCAUAUCUCUUGAUUCAAUUCAGAGGACUUAUCAUCCUCUCUUCCUUGAUCUUAUUAGAUCAAGAUGCCUCCAAGAAAGAGACCCAGCUCCAAGACCAACAACCCUCCGCCACCACCUCCUCCCCAAAUUGAUCCUGUAGUAUUCUAGGCAGCUGCCAUGUCUCAACGGAACUCUGACGGUUCCGGUAGAUCGGGAGGUGGUACCCAAACCCAAAAACAAGAAAGCAGUCAGGGACACCGAAAAGAGGGUUCCUAUAAGGAUUUCAUGAACGCAAAACCCACGUCCUUUGAUGGCACUGGAGGUGUCAUUUCCCUCACCCGAUGGUUCGAGAAGAUCGAAUCCAUCUUUGAAAUUCGUGCCUGCUCAGAAUCUGACAAAGUGAAGUUUGCUGCCUGCACCUUUAUCGACAAAGCCCUAACUUGGUGGAACGGCCGAGUCAAAUCCCUAACCUUACCUGUAGCCAACGCCAUGGGUUGGGAAACCAUGAAGGAACUUCUGCUGGCUGAGUAUUGCCCUCGAGGCGAAAUGCAGAAGUUAGAACACGAACUCUGGAACCUGAAGAUGAAAGGUUCUGAUAUCACCGCUUACACUUCCAGGUUCGACGACUUGGCAUUACUCUGCCCGGGAAUGGUUACCCCGGAGAGUAAGAAGAUAGAGAGAUUCAUCUGGGGGCUGACCCAGCCAACGAAAGGAAACGUCAUAGCUGCGAGGCCGAAUACAUACGACAGCGCCAAACGCUUAGCAUAAAUCUUAAUAGAUCAUAGUGAUGACCCUGAGGAGACAGCUACCACUCCUGAGCCGAAAAAGAGGAGUGGUGAGAAAACAAAAAUUGGGAAGAAGGAGAAAAGUCAAACAUUGCAGGAGUCUUCGAAGAGGCAGCAAACGGUGGCAGUGCACGCUGCUACUUCCCCUACAACUGUUUCUGUUGUUAGAUCCUCAACUCGAAAACCUGCCAGUAGGUAUGCUGGAACCCUUCCUAGUUGUGACAAGUGAAACUAUCAUCACCUUCCUUCCGGUCCAUGUAUAGAGGUAUUUUGCAACAGUUGUGGCAUAAAGGGUCACAUGGCGAAAAACUGUAAGGCACCAACUCAAUCAACGAGUCAAACUUCCGGAGCGGGCAUUGGUCGGGCCUGCUAUGGUUGUGGAGAAGUUGGACAUUUCAAGCGAAACUGCCCCAAGGCAUUAACAUCUGACAACACCGGAAGAGAUCUAGCGAUAGGACAAGAGGAGACAGCCACUGAUCCCACCGUUGCGACAAGUAUAUUUUCCCUUGUUAAAUUUAUAUGCCUGUGAUUCUUUUCGAUUCUAGCAGCGAAAGAAAUUCGUUAACCAUCCAUUUGAACAUCUUCUAACCCCGUCGUUUGCGAGUAACCGAAUAUGUAUANGAGUAAUCGAAAAUGUAUACCGUCGAGAUGGUUAUCAAGUGAGAAUGACAACGCUAAUGUCAUAUCCGAAGAUUGUAUCCUCAAUCCGAACAAUUAUUCUUUUCCGUUCGAUCUAAUGGCGAACUUUUCAUGAAAUGCUUUGAUGUCAUCUUUAGCAUGUAAUGACCAAGCCUCAUUCAUACUGUUAUUCCUGGUUUCGAGAAAGCCAUUCAUCUUAACCUACCUCCGACCCGACUCUCAUGAUCUUCAUGCAUCGAAGCUUAAAAAUUAUUCCCAUGUAUUCCUCGUCCAUGUGAUCAUCGAAAACGAGAAGUCUGCAACUCUUUCCCCGAUGCAUUUUUCCAAAGAUUUCCUGAGAAUUUCCUUCCGAGCGUAGUCAAGUCUUGCAUCGACCUAAUCCCUGCAAUUACCUCGUAGCCAAAACCUUAGUGAGGACGAUGUGUCCAAGACAGCAACCAGGGCUUGAUAUGAUCACUACGAGGUAGUAGUGGUGCCCUUCGGUCAAGCCAUUUUCCUGGUCAUGUAGAAAAGAAAAGCAGUCAUACUCAUGGACCUUUCCAAAAGCUAAGACAAUAAAGAUUUAGUCGGCACCGGAGAUACCCAUAGAAACCCGUCAACUCUUGGGUCCCGUCGACUAUUAUUGCAAAACCGUCUAGAAAUUCCUUUAGGACCAUCGGACCCUUAGCUACUCUGCCACAUGAAGAUGUGCCCUCUUGUUGGAAGUCUUACUCUGAAAAGACAUAGUACGCCUUUGGAAGUGCGGAAAACUUAAGUUAUGGAACAUUAGACCCUUCGGGAUCCUUGUUAGGAAUCGAUUCCGUAGCCCUCUCCGAGCUAUCUUCAGAAAUCAGCAGUAACCAUUUCGAAUUCCACGUCGAUAUUCGUAAGGAGUGCCGACCUGACGAAACCUGAGUAAUCCCUUUGUUAAGAUCGAAAACAACGGGAGUCCAAACCUCCAUGGAUGAAUCAAUUGAGAUCAUGGAUUGAUAGGUUAAUCGUACGAAACAAAGCCACAUCCUGACAGUGAGGGUAUGCUGGAAUGUCAAGCGGAGACCGGAUUCAACUUAGGAGCGUGAAUACCUGAAGCAAUAGACUCAUUCCCAUCUAUCCUUUCACUUCAUGACAUGUAUUCAAAUCUUUGAAUUUCGGGACGAAAUUCCCUCUAACGGGGGGAUAAUGUAACAACCCGAAAUUUCGUUUCAUUGCUUGUACCCCUUUUUGUAACUCAUUUCGAUAAUUCGAUCGCCGUUUCCAAUUUCGUUUUCGAUUCUGUCAUUUAAUUAAGUCAUUAAUGUGUAUUUUAUAUUAUGACUUAAUGGGUGUCUUAAUACCUUUAGAACUCAUUCUAACACCUCAUAUUAGUGAUCGGAACACUUCUAGAAUCAACCAUAUCGAGUUACGGAAACUUAAUCAGGUGCGACCAAAAGCCCCGUUUAAUGCCGGUAUCGGGUAGAAUUCCACCGUGUCCAAGUUUUGGGACCUAUUUAAACGUAUUCAAGAUUUCAUUUGAAGCUUUUGCUUCCUCUCUCUACUCUCUCUCUAACCUCUCUCCUCAAACCAAGUUUAAGGGUCUAAAAUCAUCAAAUUUAAGCUCCAAAUCACCAAGGUAACUACCCUAACUCCUAGUGUAACAUCUUAGGCCUUCAAAUUCGAGUUCAAAUCAUGGAAUAGGACCAUAUUCAUGAGUUUAGGGCCCUAGAACAGUCCUAGGCCGUGAACUCACAUAAAUUGGGUUUUAGAGCCCAAAAACCCUUCCAAUCGACCUUUGGAGGUUAGAUAUGGCUUAAUGGCUUAAUGGAAUGGACUUAGAAUGCCUUAAGCAUGGAUUUUGAAGAGUAAACAUGAGUUUACUGCCCAACAACAUGCUUGGGCCGUAAACUCAUAUAAAUGGGGUUUUUAUGCCCUUAAACCUUUCCAAAACUCCAUUAAAGCUUAGAUAUGAAUUGUAGAAUAUAGGAUUUGGCCAUGGAACACCUUGAACAUUAAAUUAGAGGAGUAAAAAUGAGUUUACUACCCAAGAUCUUGCUUGGGCCGUAAAAUCCUCAUACAAGGGGAGUAAACUCAUUUUCUAGUGUUAAAAAGGCAUAUAACUUCACCAAUAGCCUUGGAAUAAAUCCUAGAAUCGUCUAAAAAUAGUUUGGGGACCUUAAACAUGUCAAACACCCUCCAAUUAGGUGUUUACGGCCAUGACACCCCAAGAAUAUGUUCCAGGGCCGUAAACUCCUAAAGAUGAGUCAUUUGGUGCCCUAAAUUCAUACCAAGGCUUGUAAAAAUUAUAGGAAUCACAUGUGAUUAAUUUAAGGCCAUUAAAUCAUCAAUAUAAGGGGGUAUAGGGGUUUACGGCCGUAAACUCCAUGUUUAGGUCCGUAAAGUCCCUUAAAUGGUGUUAUUGGUGAUUUAAUUCCAUCCAAAGCCUUAGAUAAAUUCAUCCCAAUUAUCCCUCAAGUGUUAUUGACCAUUUUAGCACCAUAAAACACCCAAACAUGAGUUCACGGCCGUGAACUCAUGUGUGUAUGGUGUGAGAGGCUGAAAACUCUAUAAGGAGUUUACUCUUGAAGAGUAAACUCAAUUCCCAAGUCCCACGCAUCAAUACACGUCCGUAGAUGUCACCCGAGUCACUUCAAACACUCGUUUUGAAGUGUUUUCGCUCAUUGAAAUGUAAUAUCAUAUCUAAUUAGUAAUUUAAAAUCUAAUUAGAUAUAUUUGUAUACCAUUUCAUAUCACAUAGGAACCUCGCGUGUUAUCAAGCCUCGAAUCGACACUUAGCGUCCGAACCGACACGUUUUCUCGUCUGGUGAGUUCAUACCCCUACCCUUUUUCAAUGGUUUUUCAAUGUUUUCAGGGGGGAAUACAAGCAAAAGUACAGGAAUAUCUUCUACUUAAAUUCAUUAUUUUACUUAAAUGGUUUCAUAAUUCGCACACUUUUAAGAAUUGAAAACCUACUAACAAACUGUUUUAACUUGCAGAAUUGUUUGUUUAAACGAUUUCAAUUCUUAUUAUAUAUUGUUAUGUUUCACAAUUGAUUGUUCACACUUAUAUUGAUAGAGAUCAUAAAACCUUUGUAAUGUCUGUAAUAAAACACCCUAGGCUCGAGUGUAAAGGAUAGACACCAUUAG
rnacentral:lncRNA from 1 species